GCCCCGCCCCCGCUCGCGCACAGCCCCUGGGGCCUGGCUCCGAAGCUGCCGCUCUCGACCCCGGCUGCGCGGCACGGGGGCUCCGGAAGUCCGAGUCCCUGGUUCGCCCCCGGAGCGGUUACUUCAGCGAGCUCGUUGCGCGAGCGUUUUGCAAGAAGGGGGCCCAAAAAAGUUGAAAGCCGAGGGUCAGGGAAUGUAAAAGGCAUUGCCCGAGCUGCAAAUGGUGUUCGAUGCUAAGCAGAUGCCAAAUUUCGGUGGAAAAAGUACCAUCUCACUCCUGGGCCUUGACAGAUGGCUAAUUUUAAAACUAGCUCAAUCUACUUAGUCCGAAGAAUCCAUUUAAUUUCUCACCAUUCGCUGAGUAUGAAUUUGGUUUAAAAGAAGAAGAAGAAGGAAAAAAAAGCUAGGCCUUUGGGAAGGGCCACAGGAUUGGUACCUGUAAUUUAAGCCAGGAGAGCCUUUGAUAGCCUUAGGAUGGAAGGCUGAGCCUGUCCUCCGCGACACACACCCUCCGCGCCCUACCCCUCACCCCUGGGAUUGGGCUUCUGCCAUCUUGCACUGUUAAGCCUCAAAUCCGUUCUCUGGUUCUUACGCCUGACUACAAGGGAGUGCCCCAAAGCAGGGAUCUUGUCUUAGCCUUGGGCCUGCUACACAGAAGUAGCAGAGUGGCUGUCAAAAUACAGCACCUCAUUAACUCUCAAAUAUUCACUAAGCACUAUGUGCCCUGGAGAUUGAGUAAUGCCAAGGCCCCUGCUCUCAUGAAGCUUACCUUCUAGGACAGAACUAGACAACUCACAAAUACAUAAAGUGGAGUAAAUAUAAAGUAAGAAAGUGAAGGAGUCGCUAUAGUAUAAAGAAUCUGCAGAGAAGGCUUUGCAGACAAGGUGACAUCUUGAGAAAAGAAUGACAAGAGUAAGUCACCCAGAUAAUCCUGUUGUCUAUGGCAUCUUGGGCCCUCAGCUGCCUCACAUGAAAGCAAAAGAUAAGGACACCAACCCCAGGACCUGGCUGUUAUGUUGAGUUCACUGAUGAUGGAAGAGAAAGUGCUUUGUGCACAGGAAAGCCAUUAGAAAAGUGUGAGAUGUUCACCUCCCUCUAUUGGCUGUACUGAACCUGCACUGUGCCUCCAGCGAGAUGCUCAUCAAUGUCCUCUAAGAGGCCAUGCUUCAGGUAGCAAGGGUUCCAGCUAAUUAAAGGGAAAUUUUGUAAGGGGAAUGUCCAUAAAUAAAUAUUCUUCCCUGGCAAAGGGAAGUUGAGAAGUCAACUUCAAAACACAUUCUUUAAAAAAUUAGUAAAUAAAUAAACAGGCACCCACUUUGUCCUCAUUAGCACUUUAAAAGCUUGGUUUGGGACACACCAAGUUUGAAGUUCAGAGGAGACAGCCAGAUGAUGAUAGCAGACAGCUGAAGAUCCAUACCUGGAGGUCACUUGCUCAUGUGCCAUAGUUGACAGAACAUGGUCUUUUGAAGUAUGAGCUACCCAGGAGAAAAUCCUACCAUCCUUCCCCACAUACUAACCAAGUCACUCUGCAUCUGGAAAAUUCUGUGACUUGGAACAAAUAUGGCCCAUACUAGUUGAGCUAAUUAAGCUCUCUGAGACUCAGUUACCCCAUGGAGCACUGACAACACACGGCACUUAGGCUUCACUCCAAGAAGGCCUUCCUUCCUCUAGGCUGGAAACAAAUUCAGACUUGGAUUCUUGCAUUUAUUUUGUUCUCCCAUCUAUUCCAGGUAGUCGUCUAGCACCUGUCACCUCCACUGAGGUGGUGGUUCCUUCCAUCUUCUUCAUCUGGCAUUAUAGUAAAGACUCAAUAAACAUGAGCUGUUAUUAAAAGCCAAAAGUCAGUGUUUAAUUGCCUCAAUUCCAAGAGGCCUUGGGUUCCAGAGUUUUCCCUCCUAGUAACUGAUGCUGUCAUCUUGGGCCUUAGUGCUAUCCUUUGUAAAAUAAAGGAGUGAGUGUGUCAAAAUGACCACAGAUUCCUCCCAGCAGGAGCUGACUUGUGUAUACAGUCAGCUCUGCAGAUGCAAAGAAGAAAGAUUAUUACAACAAGCUAAGCUAACUGCAAUGGUAGACAGCUGGGGAUUUCUUUCUUGACUGAAUUCACCAAAGACUCCAAACUGCUGCCAUCAAUUGCUGUUUCAGUUUCAUUUGAAGAUUAUGUUAUGUAUCUGCUCCUCCCCCAUCUCCUUUGGCCAAGAAAGGAAUAUGCUCACAAUGAGAUAUUGUGCUUUGGUAAGUAUAUACCUCCUCAGACUGGUCUGCAAUUAGAAUUUCAAAGGUUCACACCUCUACUCACCAUUUCUGGGCCAUAAUCCUCUUUAAAUUUGAAACCAUGCCUCAGUGAAAACCAUCUGCACCUCUCAUUUUCUCAAAUACUCUGAAAAUCAUUCCUGGAUAUCUGAAAGCAAAUAGAGACUGACAUGGGCAAAACGUAAAUGCUGGAUUUCUUUGUGUGGAGCUGCCCCGAAAUAGACACCAUCCUCCCCAAAGCCAGGAAAAAUGUGCACACACACAUAUUUGUGUGCACCUGGCUUUAUAUAAAGCAAGCAUCAUCUCUGUUGUCGUCAUUAUAAUAAGACUGUUCAGCACCCUUGUCCUCCUCAUGCCUGCCUCUUACUCUGAGCACUGCUGACUGAGGUUUCUAACACCAUGAUUAUGGCAGGAUGCACUUUGUCGCCUUGAAAAAAAGGCAGCAGGAACAGUGGUGGCUUAUUCUUCUGAACAGCAAUGGCGCUAAUGACCCACUUGCCAUCAGGGAAUUGGCUCUCAGUUACAUUUCCAGUUGCAGACCUCACUCUCAUCCAUCUGUCUUAUAACCAAGGGGGGAUGCAUUUGCAAGAUGACUGACCAGAAACCAGAGGUGGGGGAGUGUGGGUGGGGAGUCAGAGGUGCUCUGUGGGCCCAAGAAACCACAAGGAGCUUUGAUCCACAGUGUUAGCCAGCGACAGCAUUCAUCACAGGCUCCCGAUGCCCUCAUGGAACGAUGACAAUGGCUAAAGUGGGAAGGGAACACACUUUUUAUUACAUGGACCUGAGCUUAAAUCUCUACUUUCUUGUUUAUUCACCUUGUUUUCUAAACUAUGUUUCAGAUUAUUGUGUGAAAUAAAAUGAGAAGAUAUGGAUAAGUAG